GAUGAACGCUGGCGGCGUGCCUAAUACAUGCAAGUCGAGCGAACAGACGAGGAGCUUGCUCCUCUGACGUUAGCGGCGGACGGGUGAGUAACACGUGGAUAACCUACCUAUAAGACUGGGAUAACUUCGGGAAACCGGAGCUAAUACCGGAUAACAUGUUGAACCGCAUGGUUCAACAGUGAAAGACGGUCUUGCUGUCGCUUAUAGAUGGAUCCGCGCCGCAUUAGCUAGUUGGUAAGGUAACGGCUUACCAAGGCAACGAUGCGUAGCCGACCUGGGAGGGUGAUCGGCCACCCUGGAACUGAGACACGGUCCAGACUCCUACGGGAGGCAGCAGUAGGGAAUCUUCCGCAAUGGGCGAAAGCCUGACGGAGCAACGCCGCGUGAGUGAAGAAGGUCUUCGGAUCGUAAAACUCUGUUAUUAGGGAAGAACAAAUGUGUAAGUAACUAUGCACGUCUUGACGGUACCUAAUCAGAAAGCCACGGCUAACUACGUG
rnacentral:rRNA from 1 species